GAUGAAGAACGUAGCGAAAUGCGAUAAGUAAUGUGAAUUGCAGAAUUCCGUGAAUCAUCGAAUCUUUGAACGCACAUUGCGCCCCCUGGCAUUCCGGGGGGCAUGCCUGUCCGAGCGUCAUUUCUGCCCUCCAGCCCGGCUGGGUGUUGGGCGCUGUCCCCCCGGGGACACGCCCCAAAGGCAGUGGCGGCGCCGCGUCGGGUCCUCGAGCGUAUGGGGCUUUGUCACCCGCUCGGGACGGACUCGUCGGCGCUGGUCUUCCUCCAGGCGACACUUCGGGGCUCGUCUUCCUUCGGUUGACCUCGGAUCAGGUAGGGUUACCCGCUGAACUUAAGCAUAUCAAUAAGCGGAGGA
rnacentral:misc_RNA from 1 species